CAAUAGCGUAUACUAAUGCUGCUGCAGUUAAAAAGCUCGUAGUUGGAUCUGGCGUGCGGGCUUGCGGUCCACCCGUCCGGUGGUCACUGCACGUCCCGACGUACCUCUCGGCUUUCCCUAGUUGCUCUUAGCUGAGUGACUAGGGUUACCGGAACGUUUACUUUGAAGAAAUUAGAGUGUUCAUGGCAGGCGCCCGCCUGAAUAGUGGUGCAUGGAAUAAUGGAACAAGACCUCGGUUCUAUUUUGUUGGUUUCUGGAACACGAGGUAAUGAUUAAGAGGGACUGAUAGGGGCAUCCGUACUGCUGCGUUAGAGGUGAAAUUCUUGGAUCGCAGCAAGACGAACUGCAGCGAAGGCGUUUGCCAGAAACGUUUUCAUUAAUCAAGAGCGACAGUCGGAGGUU
rnacentral:rRNA from 1 species